rnacentral:rRNA from 1 species
CAGUCGCCGCGGGAAUACGGAGGAUCCAAGCGUUAUCCGGAAUCAUUGGGUUUAAAGGGUCCGUAGGCGGUCUUGUAAGUCAGUGGUGAAAGCCCAUCGCUCAACGGUGGAACGGCCAUUGAUACUGCAGGACUUGAAUUAUUGGGAAGUAACUAGAAUAUGUAGUGUAGCGGUGAAAUGCUUAGAGAUUACAUGGAAUACCAAUUGCGAAGGCAGGUUACUACCAAUUGAUUGACGCUGAUGGACGAAAGCGUGGGUAGCGAACAGGAUUAGAUACCCCCGUAGUCCUGUCUCUUAUACA